rnacentral:lncRNA from 1 species
CCUGAUCCCAAAGGUGAUUCAGAGACAACAAUGGAUCAGUCUCCAAUUUUUAGUGUGAAAUUCUACUCUAUGAUUUCUAUUAGUUAAAUUUUGGUAGCUAAAACUGAAACCACUCAAAUUUCAGCAGAAAGGAAUUCAUACUGCAGUAUCAGGUAGUUCACAAAAGCAUCGGAAGCGUUGGAGGAGCAGAGCAGACAGAGGAUCCAGCUAAAACUCCCAGACCAAGAACCACAAGACCACUGCCAUAGUAUUGAGCAUCUUGUACAUACCAAGCAGUGGACUGAAUGCCUAGGAGUCCCCACCAAGCAAGACAGAUGUGUUCCCUGGAGUGUAGAGGCCAAGACAGGCAAGUUGCAGGCUGAUUGCAAGAGCGUGUAGAGACUCAACAGCUGACUGUGAGUCAAAUCCAACAUGAAGAGAAUCAUUUGAAAGCUGUUGAAAACCAAACCUCUGCGCUCACACCCCCAGACUCCUGAAAUAUGAUGAAGAGAUUUCUCGAGAGGCUUCAGCCUAGAACUCAAGCACAGAAAAGAAGAAGGAGAGGCGGAGGAGGAGAAAGAGAAGAAAAUAAAAGGGAAAAAACCUUGAAUGCAUAAUCACAAGGGUAAAAAUUAGAGACUGAAUGGAAUGUAACAGAGUUCUGGAUGCUGAGACAUGAGCUGUACCAGACGAUGAUGGGCAACCCUGCUCUGGCUGCCUGUUAGUACCAGUGAUGGAGAGCUGCAAGCCACAGAAAGAGGAACAAAAGAGAGCCCUGGAAGUGAUAGGGCUUGAUUCUGCCUUUUACUCACUGUAUGGACUUGGGGAAAUUACCAAAUCUUUG